rnacentral:rRNA from 1 species
CGUCGUGAGACAGUUCGGUCCCUAUCUGCCGUGGGCGCUGGAGAACUGAGGGGGGCUGCUCCUAGUACGAGAGGACCGGAGUGGACGCAUCACUGGUGUUCGGGUUGUCAUGCCAAUGGCACUGCCCGGUAGCUAAAUGCGGAAGAGAUAAGUGCUGAAAGCAUCUAAGCACGAAACUUGCCCCGAGAUGAGUUCUCCCUGAGACUUAAAGUCUCCUGAAGGAACGUUGAAGACGACGACGUUGAUAGGCCGGGUGUGUAAGCGCAGCGAUGCGUUGAGCUAACCGGUACUAAUGAACCGUGAGGCUUAACCUUACAACGCCGAAG